rnacentral:sRNA from 1 species
CUUGGUCAUUUAGAGGAAGUAAAAGUCGUAACAAGGUUUCCGUAGGUGAACCUUCGGAAGGAUCAUUACCGUAACGCGGCGGCCCGGCAACCGCAAGGAAGUCGGCCGCCACACGCGUUUAUCACCCUUGACUUUGAGCACCUUUCGUUUCCUCGGCGGGUUCGCCCGCCAGCGAGGACCCCCAUAAACCCUUUGUAAUAGCAAUAUUUGUCUGAAAAACAACCAAUAAUCAAAACUUUCAACAAUGGAUCUCUUGGUUCUGGCAUCGAUGAAGAACGCAGCGAAAUGCGAUAAGUAGUGUGAAUUGCAGAAUUCAGUGAAUCAUCGAAUCUUUGAACGCACAUUGCGCCCCUCGGUAUUCCGUGGGGCAUGCCUGUUCGAGCGUCAUUUAACCCCUCAAGCCUAGCUUGGUAUUGGGUGCUUGUCCCGCCUCUCGCGCGGCGACUCACCUCAAAGUCAUUGGCAGCCCGCAUCUCGCCGGCCGUGAGCGCAGCACAGACGCGCUCUUGGCAACGACGGAUCGGCUCUCCAAAAGCUUAUUUCAACCACUGACCUCGGAUCAGGUAGGGAUACCCGCUGAACUUAAGCAUAUCAAUAAGCGGAGGAAAAGAAACCAACAGGGAUUGCCUCAGUAACGGCGAGUGAAGCGGCAACAGCUCAAAUUUGAAAUCUGGCCCUUUCAGGGUCCGAGUUGUAAUUUGCAGAGGGUGCUUUGGUGUCGGCCGUGGUCUAAGUUCCUUGGAACAGGACGUCACAGAGGGUGAGAAUCCCGUACGUGGCCGCCGGUCUUCACCGUGUAAAGCCCCUUCGACGAGUCGAGUUGUUUGGGAAU